rnacentral:tRNA from 1 species
GAGAUUGUAGAUUAAUUGGCUAGAGCACAUACAUGUCGGAAGCUGUGGGUUUGAGUCACAUCAAUCUCA